CAAUGCCCAUGGAAACCCCGAA
rnacentral:miRNA from 1 species